CUAAAAAGAAAAAAAAAAAGAAAAAAAACAAAAGAAAAAAAACCCAAAGGAUUUUUCUUAAACAGAGGAUUACCACGGGUCUCUGAACCCUGGCAGUGGUAAUGAGAAGGUACUGAUCUUCCUUUCUUAUUUUGCCUGGAAUAUUUUUGACUCACCAUCAGACAAACAUUUACCAGCAAGGAAAGUAAUUGUGUUUCAUCUAGGGCUCCAGUGAGACCUGCAUAAAAAGUCACAGGAAACAUUUCCAUUCCAACUAGGUAACAGGCUAUUGAAAUUCACUGGAAACAGAUUACCGUGAAUGUGUUUUCUCACAGUGGCACAGUUUUCUCUAAGGAAUCAGGAGACAUGAUUAUCUUUCCCUUUUCCUUUACAGGUUUAGGUUUGAAGAAUUUCAGUUUAUUCAGCUCUCAAAAAACCAAUUUUCUUUGUACUAUGUUACUGUACUUAAAAUUUAGGACCAUCCAGAAAAGACUCCAAUUAAUUUGGAAUAUUUGGGAGAAAACUGAGUGUUCUCCUUUCCUGAAAGCAAUGAGUCUGUAAUCCCUUUCCUUCAAGUGUUCACCGUUUACUUCUUUCCCUGUCUUCCUGGCUUCAGAGGUGGGAGGUGUGGUCACAUUUCCAAUUUGCAGUUUGUCCACAUUUGUUUUCUCUAGAUAAUUCUCAGGAUGAUUAUGAGGAUUUAGUUGUGCGGAGGUGCACACCUACGUGUAAUUUGAACAACUUAACCCUGUGCAUUUCUAGCUGAGCGUGGAACGAAGAAGUUCAGGACCGGAGCUUUAGAGUUGGAGCCCCUUGCUGGCCCUGCUCGGUCCCUGAAGAGGCAAUUGCACAACUUGCUGCACACGUCCUGUAGCCCUACCUUUGUGCAGCCGAUCUCUCCUCGGUAAAAUGUUCUCAGCGCACAAAAGCAGCGGCUGAAGGGAACCGCUUCGGGCAGAGACGGAGGAGGCAGCUGGCAGGCUGCAGCACCGCUGCGCCAUCUCCCGUGGAAACGGACGCUGCUAACCCUGCCUAGGAAACUAAUGGAGCGUCCCUAAGAAACCCAAACUCCAGCUUGGCUCACCCCAGCCUUCUCCCCAACCUCCAGACCCCCAGGGUUUGCAGAGUCGUUGGUUAAGAUGACGUCCUACUGGAGCAGAGUGGAUCCUUAAUCCAUCGUGACUGGUGUCCUUAUGAAAAGGGGAAAUCUGGGCACAGAGACAUGCACCCAGGGAGAACACUACGUGAAGACUGUUAUGCUUCCACAACCCAGAGGACUACCACAAGCUAGAAGGAAGGCCUGAUUCAGAUCCUUCCCAACUGCCUUCAGAGCGUGGUCCUGCUGACACCUUGAUUUUGUACUUCUAGCCUCCAGAACCAUGAGACAAUAAAGUUCUAUUGUUUCAGCCACUCAGUUUGUGCUAUUUGUAUGGCACUCCUAGAAAACUAAUGCAGUAAGCAAAGGAUUGCCAAAUCUGUAUUUAAGAAGGCAUAUUUCACAAAGAUGGUCCAUUUUAUAAAUAGGUGACUGGUCAGAGAAAAGAAAGCAUGCAUUC